AUAAGUAAUUUAAUAAUUUAAUAAUUACAAUAUGUAAUAAUUGUACAAUUAUUAAGCAAUAUCUUUUAGGUGCAGGAUGACCCCGAAUAAGUCAUUAGAUCGGGACUUUUGGUUCAAACUGGCACAAUGUAUUAGAAACUUAAUUUUGUCAUCUGCCCAGUAGGGGCUAAUUUUAAUUUUAUCUACCCAGUCUACCUUGUGACUUUGGAGUGAAGGAAUAUAGUAACAGUUGCAGAAACUUCUCAUGAAAGGUAAGAAAGCUUCCUCAAAGUGUAGGGCAUUGUUUCAUCCUUUGUAGUCCAUCUUUAGCACCUUCACGAAGGGUUGCGUGUGUGUGCGUGUACAUGGACGCACAUACACACAUGUAUGUACACGUACAUGCAACAUCCCCGUGUCCUGGAGAAGCCAGGGUACGCUAGGGCAGCAUUCUCUAUGCCAUAGAGAGACCGCUUCACCAUAGGCAUGCAGGUCCCAGGGCAGCCGUGACCUCAGCCUCCUCUUUGGGCUGUCAAGGCUUCCUGACACGUUCUUAGGGGGAUUGAAUGAGCUUCGUGUCUUGUUUCUGCUUCUGCCCUUGGAUGCCUUCUGUGGAUGUCAUUUCUAGGUACGGGAUAUCACUGGGGAGUGGGUGGCCCCGGAGAGCCAUGACCACUUCCCAGCUCUCAGGUGAGAGUAUUUCAUACCGAUGUCAGUUUUUUUUAGAGGAGCCAUUGGCAGGAUAUAGCACCCUCGGAGGGUGGGUGGCCCUUCUCAAUGGCUCUCUUGAAUUCCUCUUAACCCUCCUUUACCUCCUUCCCCACGUUGAAAUGUUCAGGACUGAAAGGUGUUGUGGGCGCCUCGUUCCUGCUCCAGGGUUGGGUCUCUUCCCAGUGGGGAAGGGCUGCCAACUCUUACAAAGGCUUGACUGUGUGUGCGGCAGGACUGGGCUGGCCCAGAAGGGGCACGCAGCUCUGUGCUGCCAGAGAGGAAGCUCUAGGAGGAACGGUCAAAUGGGAAGAAAGGCUGUCCCUGAGUGUGCUGUCGAGUCCUAGAAGGGGAUUUCAGUCAAAACACGAAAAGUUUCAAUUGUCUCUGGUCAGUGGCAGUUGGGAUGCAGAUGAUCUUCCCUGUGAGAUGUGGUCAGAAGGUCAAUAUUGAUGGUCAGCUAUGUCACAACAGCUACAUCAUUCGCUGCACUGCGUCUCAUCACAUUGGCAUUUCGUCAUCUCACAUCAUCGUAAGGAGGGUCAUGAAAUCCAGAGCCGCAAAUGUGAGUGGGUUCACACCACGUUUCCAGUGACCAGGAAUGCACAGCGAGUUUCACAAUGAUAUGUCAUGCAGAAGAUUGAUUCAAUUUACGUCUGAAGGGAGUUCUCUGUGCCUCUUGGAUUUCAGUGUCUGUUUCCUUCCCCACAUUGGGAAAGUUCUCAGGUAUGAUUUGUUCAAGUACACCUUCAGCCUCUUUCUCUCUUCCUCGGGAAUUCCUAUGAUACGGAUAUUGCUCCAUUUGAUUAAAUCACUUAGUUCUCUAAUUCUCCCCUCGUGAUCCUGGAUUUCUUUAUCUCUCUUUUUCUCAGCUUCCUCUUUUUCUAUAAUUUUGUCUUCUAAUCCACCUAUUCUCUCCUCUGCGUCUUCAGUCUCUGGUGUGGCCAACUCCAUUUUAUUUUAAACCUCAUUCAUAGCAUUUUUUCAUUCAUCGUGUCUAUUUUUUAGUUCCUUGAUCUCUGCAGCAAU